UUAAGCGACUAAGCGUACACGGUGGAUGCCCUGGCAGUCAGAGGCGAUGAAGGGCGUGCUAAUCUGCGAUAAGCGCCGGUAAGGUGAUAUGAACCGUUAUAACCGGCGAUACCCGAAUGGGGAAACCCAGUGUGAUUCGUCACACUAUCAUUAACUGAAUCCAUAGGUUAAUGAGGCGAACCGGGGGAACUGAAACAUCUAAGUACCCCGAGGAAAAGAAAUCAACCGAGAUUCCCCCAGUAGCGGCGAGCGAACGGGGAGGAGCCCAGAGCCUGAAUCAGCAUGUGUGUUAGUGGAAGCGUCUGGAAAGGCGCGCGAUACAGGGUGACAGCCCCGUACACAAAAGCGCAUGUGCUGUGAGCUCGAUGAGUAGGGCGGGACACGUGGUAUCCUGUCUGAAUAUGGGGGGACCAUCCUCCAAGGCUAAAUACUCCUGACUGACCGAUAGUGAACCAGUACCGUGAGGGAAAGGCGAAAAGAACCCCGGCGAGGGGAGUGAAAAAGAACCUGAAACCGUGUACGUACAAGCAGUGGGAGCCCCACCACCAAAGCAUUCUCUGGUGUUGAAGGCCCUGCAAAGCAGCAUCGCGGUGGCGGAGCGUCGUUUGCGACGCCCAACACACAAAACAAGCGGUGAGUGCUUUGGGGUGGGGUGACUGCGUACCUUUUGUAUAAUGGGUCAGCGACUUAUAUUCUGUAGCAAGGUUAACCGUAUAGGGGAGCCGGAGGGAAACCGAGUCUUAACCGGGCGUUAAGUUGCAGGGUAUAGACCCGAAACCCGGUGAUCUAGCCAUGGGCAGGUUGAAGGUUGGGUAACACUAACUGGAGGACCGAACCGACUAAUGUUGAAAAAUUAGCGGAUGACCUGUGGCUGGGGGUGAAAGGCCAAUCAAACCGGGAGAUAGCUGGUUCUCCCCGAAAGCUAUUUAGGUAGCGCCUCGUGAAUUCAUCUCCGGGGGUAGAGCACUGUUUCGGCUAGGGGGCCAUCCCGGCUUACCAACCCGAUGCAAACUGCGAAUACCGGAGAAUGUUAUCACGGGAGACACACGGCGGGUGCUAACGUCCGUCGUGAAGAGGGAAACAACCCAGACCGCCAGCUAAGGUCCCAAAGUCAUGGUUAAGUGGGAAACGAUGUGGGAAGGCCCAGACAGCCAGGAUGUUGGCUUAGAAGCAGCCAUCAUUUAAAGAAAGCGUAAUAGCUCACUGGUCGAGUCGGCCUGCGCGGAAGAUGUAACGGGGCUAAACCAUGCACCGAAGCUGCGGCAGCGACGCUUAUGCGUUGUUGGGUAGGGGAGCGUUCUGUAAGCCUGCGAAGGUGGCCUGUGAGGGUUGCUGGAGGUAUCAGAAGUGCGAAUGCUGACAUAAGUAACGAUAAAGCGGGUGAAAAGCCCGCUCGCCGGAAGACCAAGGGUUCCUGUCCAACGUUAAUCGGGGCAGGGUGAGUCGACCCCUAAGGCGAGGCCGAAAGGCGUAGUCGAUGGGAAACGGGUUAAUAUUCCCGUACUUGGUGUUACUGCGAAGGGGGGACGGAGAAGGCUAUGUUGGCCGGGCGACGGUUGUCCCGGUUUAAGCGUGUAGGUGUGUGUUCCAGGUAAAUCCGGUUCACUUUAACACUGAGGCGUGACGACGAGGCACUACGGUGCUGAAGCAACAAAUGCCCUGCUUCCAGGAAAAGCCUCUAAGCAUCAGGUAACAUCAAAUCGUACCCCAAACCGACACAGGUGGUCAGGUAGAGAAUACCAAGGCGCUUGAGAGAACUCGGGUGAAGGAACUAGGCAAAAUGGUGCCGUAACUUCGGGAGAAGGCACGCUGACAUGUAGGUGAAGUGAUUUACUCAUGGAGCUGAAGUCAGUCGAAGAUACCAGCUGGCUGCAACUGUUUAUUAAAAACACAGCACUGUGCAAACACGAAAGUGGACGUAUACGGUGUGACGCCUGCCCGGUGCCGGAAGGUUAAUUGAUGGGGUCAGCGCAAGCGAAGCUCCUGAUCGAAGCCCCGGUAAACGGCGGCCGUAACUAUAACGGUCCUAAGGUAGCGAAAUUCCUUGUCGGGUAAGUUCCGACCUGCACGAAUGGCGUAAUGAUGGCCAGGCUGUCUCCACCCGAGACUCAGUGAAAUUGAACUCGCUGUGAAGAUGCAGUGUACCCGCGGCAAGACGGAAAGACCCCGUGAACCUUUACUAUAGCUUGACACUGAACAUUGAGCCUUGAUGUGUAGGAUAGGUGGGAGGCUUUGAAGUGUGGACGCCAGUCUGCAUGGAGCCGACCUUGAAAUACCACCCUUUAAUGUUUGAUGUUCUAACGUGGACCCGUGAUCCGGGUUGCGGACAGUGUCUGGUGGGUAGUUUGACUGGGGCGGUCUCCUCCUAAAGAGUAACGGAGGAGCACGAAGGUUGGCUAAUCCUGGUCGGACAUCAGGAGGUUAGUGCAAUGGCAUAAGCCAGCUUGACUGCGAGCGUGACGGCGCGAGCAGGUGCGAAAGCAGGUCAUAGUGAUCCGGUGGUUCUGAAUGGAAGGGCCAUCGCUCAACGGAUAAAAGGUACUCCGGGGAUAACAGGCUGAUACCGCCCAAGAGUUCAUAUCGACGGCGGUGUUUGGCACCUCGAUGUCGGCUCAUCACAUCCUGGGGCUGAAGUAGGUCCCAAGGGUAUGGCUGUUCGCCAUUUAAAGUGGUACGCGAGCUGGGUUUAGAACGUCGUGAGACAGUUCGGUCCCUAUCUGCCGUGGGCGCUGGAGAACUGAGGGGGGCUGCUCCUAGUACGAGAGGACCGGAGUGGACGCAUCACUGGUGUUCGGGUUGUCAUGCCAAUGGCACUGCCCGGUAGCUAAAUGCGGAAGAGAUAAGUGCUGAAAGCAUCUAAGCACGAAACUUGCCCCGAGAUGAGUUCUCCCUGAGACUUUAGGUCUCCUGAAGGAACGUUGAAGACGACGACGUUGAUAGGCCGGGUGUGUAAGCGCAGCGAUGCGUUGAGCUAACCGGUACUAAUGAACCGUGAGGCUUAACCUU
rnacentral:rRNA from 1 species